AUACAACACAUUCCGAGGCUAUCUCUAGCAAACCAUUUCAAAAUAUUUCAGAGACUUAAAAAGUUCAUUACGUUCACGGGACUCUAUCUGUACUUCUUGUGUAAGGUUCUGGAGAUUUUCUUAAUUGUGACAAUACUAUUUUCUUGUUUAUAUAUGAAAAACAAAUUUUCAAAUAAUUAUUCUUAAUAACAAGAAGAAGAAUUCUCAGGAAGGUGAAGAAGUGCAAAGACCUCAAAAAUACAACACAUUCCGAGGAUAGAGAUAGCAAAGCAUUUCAAAGUAUUUCAGAGACUUAAAAAGUUCAUUACGUUUACGGGACUCUGUCUGUACUUCUUGUGAUUUUGUCCAAAAAGCUCUAAAGGUUUUAAUACUACAUUUCCGAUAUUGAGACAUUUCAAACACUUAUAAGAGCCAUUACGUCCACGGAACUCUACUCGAACUUUCUCUGUGAGGUUUUAAAGAAAUUUUUUUUGUUUGUGUCAACACUAUUGCUGCCAUAAUUAAUUAACAACCGAAAAAUAAUGAAAGUGAGAAAGGCUGCGUUUAGUACCUCCAACCAAAUUUGCUUUAACUGCAUUCAAUUGAGGAAACGUAAUAUCUAAGGUUCAAGACGUUCCAUAGACUUAAGAACUUUAUUGCGUUCACGGCAAUCUAACUGUAAGAUCUGAAGAUAUUAGUCUUAGCUAUAACUGAAAUAAAGAUUUCAGUACUCUCGUCUAAUCUCUGAAAGUAUGGAGGAAUCUG